GAACAGCAUGGGGCUGAGCUGGAGAUGUUCCCCUUGUCCGUGCCCCACAGGUUGCAGGGAUAAUAACUCCAGUAGAAGUUCUGCGACCAGCUGUGGGGGCAUUGCAGGCAAAUGGAACAAUGUGUAAAACAACAGCAGAGGCAUGAAACUGCAGAACUCAUUAAUUCAGAUGCAAUGUGGGGAUGUUCCACAGCAGCUUCACGUGGAUGUUGUGAGGGUGAAAAAGGAGGAAACACAUUUUAGAUACAUAAGGAAACGUCCUAGAAAUCCAUCCGGUCUCCUUUGUUGAGCAAUAUUGCUGCAGGCGGAGGCCUCCCAGGGAUUUGCAAGUAAGAGUGAUGAGGACAAGAGUGUAUUCAAGGCAGCCUCUGGGCAAGGAAGGAUGAGAACUUGAAGGUGAAAAACUCUGAAACCCUCCCUGACCCUCAACUAUCAACUGGAUUAACUGGCCUUGGCGUUCUGCUCUGUAAAAUGGGGCACAUCUGCCUCCUAUAAUCCGGCAGGUUCCUGCGGUAUCCCAUGAACACAGCACAAUAAUUGAAGCUCAGUUUCCUCAUCUGUCCAAUGGGGAUACUAAGAAUGACAGCCUCUCGUGGUGGUUAUAAGGCGUCAACAAGAUCACUGAAGUGAAGUACCUCCAACAGUGCCUGUUGAGUAGUAGACAUAGUGAAACCGAGGCUCAGAGAGUCAAGAAAAUCACCUAAUUUUACAUCAGAAAUUAGCGUGGAGACACAAGAGAGAGGAUAGAAACUGAUGGGCAGUUGGUGGAGUGGCCGGCCUCUGCAAAGUGGCCUGAUCGGAUUCCUGAGCUUCUAGGUCAUCGGGCAGGACUGCGACUGGCCGGAGCCAAUGCUACUCCCUCCUGACCUUGAAAGGUGUGACAAGUGGACUUGCAUUCAUUGCUCUACAAGCCUCUAUUGAGUAUCUGUGAUGUCCUGGCAUCGAUCUUAUCUGUGUGAGAAUUUGGUGAGCCAGCAAAGGAGCUAACCAAUCAGAAGGCCAUCUUCCCCUCAGCUUCCUGCUUAUCCAGACUCUGGAAGAAUUACUCAAGUCCUAACUUCCUUUUCAUUACACUUCUUAGGAGUACAAGCAAGUCACUGUGACUAUUUGAGAACAGCUCAAACACUGAAGCAUUUAAGAGGAAAGAAAGGCAGACAGAGGGAACUUCCACUUCUGCCAUGGUCAGGAAGGAGAGGAAUCAAGAGACUACCACCAGAACUGCUGACUUCAAAGUAAGAAUCAGGAAGCCACUUCGGACCCCUACACAACUAUCUAAUCACCCAUGAAGCUGGUGAUUAGGAACCUUCGAUCUGCUGGAGAAAAUCCCGAAGUCUUUACAACUACUUGCCAGUGGCAGUAGCAGAAUUCAGGGAAAUGAACUUCUAAAUCUUGUGGGUGUAUCUAAAUGCAGACCAUGUUAAUUGGGUAAAAGAAACAGAGGUGGAGAUAAGCUUGUUCUCUGUACUGGGUAAACUUCAUGUUUGCAUUUAGUUUUGGGUGGCCUACUUUAAGAGGGGAAGACAAAGGGGCCGGACCAGUGGCACAGCGGUUAAGUUCGCACGUUUCUCUUCUCCAUGGCCCGGGGUUUGCUGGUUCGGGUCCCAG